rnacentral:rRNA from 1 species
UGGCGAACUCCUACGGGAGGCAGCAGUGGGGAAUAUUGCACAAUGGGCGCAAGCCUGAUGCAGCGACGCCGCGUGAGGGAUGACGGCCUUCGGGUUGUAAACCUCUGUUAGCAGGGAAGAAGAGAAAUUGACGGUACCUGCAGAGAAAGCGCCGGCUAACUACGUGCCAGCAGCCGCGGUAAUACGUAGGGCGCGAGCGUUGUCCGGAAUUAUUGGGCGUAAAGAGCUUGUAGGCGGUUUGUCGCGUCUGCUGUGAAAGGCCGGGGCUUAACCCCGUGUAUUGCAGUGGGUACGGGCAGACUAGAGUGCAGUAGGGGGGACUGGAAUUCCUGGUGUAGCGGUGGAAUGCGCAGAUAUCAGGAGGAACACCGAUGGCGAAGGCAGGUCCCUGGGCUGUAACUGACGCUGAGAAGCGAAAGCAUGGGGAGCGAACAGGAUUAGAAACCCCAGUAUCCC